CCUACGGGGUGCUGCAGUGAGGAAUAUUGGUCAAUGGACGGAAGUCUGAACCAGCCAUGCCGCGUGCAGGAAGACGGCUCUAUGAGUUGUAAACUGCUUUUGUACAAGGGUAAACCUGAAUACGUGUAUCUAGCUGAAAGUACUGGACGAAUAAGGAUCGGCUAACUCCGUGCCAGCAGCCGCGGUAAUACGGAGGAUCCAAGCGUUAUCCGGAUUUAUUGGGUUUAAAGGGUGCGUAGGCGGAUUGAUAAGUUAGAGGUGAAAUGUCCGGGCUUAACCCGGGAACUGCCUCUAAUACUGUUGAUCUAGAGAGUAGGUGCGGUAGGCGGAAUGUAUGGUGUAGCGGUGAAAUGCUUAGA
rnacentral:rRNA from 1 species